rnacentral:tRNA from 13 species
GGGUUCGGCCGGGAUUUGAACCCGGGAACUCUCGCACCCUAAGCGAGAAUCAUACCCCUAGACCACCGAACC